UUGGAAGCAGCCAUUCAUUUAAAGAGUGCGUAACAGCUCACUAGUCGAGGAGUUUUGCAUGGAUAAUAAUCGGGCAUAAGCCCUUUACCGAAGCUGUGGAUGUCGUAAGACAUGGUAGGGGAGCAUUCCGGCGGCGACGAAGGCCGUCCUCGAGGACGACUGGAGCUUUCGGAAAAGCAAAUGUAGGUAUAAGUAACGAUAAAGGGGGCGCGAAACCCCCUCGCCAUAAGACUAAGGAUUCCUGAUCAACGCUAAUCGGAUCAGGGUAAGUCGGGCCCUAAGGCGCAGCCGAACGGCGUAGCCGAUGGAAGAAACGGUAAAGAUUCCGUUACUGGAUAUAGGAGCGAUGUGGAGACGGAGAAGUGACACACCCGCCUGCCGACGGAAGCGCAGGUUAAAGGAAGUAGGUAAACGCCGGGUAGGCAAAUCCGCCUGGCGUGCCGAAGCUGACAGUAUCGAGAGCCCCCGGGCAAUCGAAUAGCGGUGGUAAUCAGGCUCCCAAGAAAAUCCGCUAAGCAUAUUCUAUAUCCACCCGUACCCCAAACGGACACACGUAGUCGGGUAGAAUAUACCAAGGCGCUCGAAAGACUCACGGUUAAGGAACUAGGCAAAUUGACCCUGUAACCUCGGGAAAAAGGGUCCCCAGUAAGAUGGGGCGCAGAGAAUAGGUCCAGGCAACUGUUUAACAAAAACACAGGGCUGUGCGAAAUUUCAAGAUGAAGUAUACAGCCUGACACCUGCCCGGUGCCGGAAGGUUAAGAGGAGAGCUAAUCGCAAGAGAAGGCUUGAAUUGAAGCCCCGGUAAACGGCGGCCGUAACUAUAACGGUCCUAAGGUAGCGAAAUUCCUUGUCGGGUAAGUUCCGACCUGCACGAAUGGUGUAAUGAUCUGGACACUGUCUCAACCGUGACUUCGGUGAAAUUGUAGUAUCGGUGAAGAUGCCGAUUACCCGCAACGGGACGAAAAGACCCCGUGAACCUUUACUGCAACUUAGCAUUGCGUUUGGGCAUUUGAUGUGUAGGAUAGUCCGGAGGCUACGAGCCGGCGACGCCAGUCGUCGGGGAGCCGUUGUUGAAAUACGGACCUUCGAAUGUUUGAGCGCUAACUCGCAGGUAUAAAGUUGUUUUCUAUAUAAACAAAAUUUAUAUUUGCACUAUAAAGUUAACGCAAAACAAUGAUAACGCCAAAAUAAAAGGGCAAUAAAGUUAACAAAAUAGAUUAUUUACUCUAAAUCAAAUAAGAAUAUGACACUAAAAGAGUUUGAAGAAAGAACAGGAAAGCCAAUCUCGGCAGAAACGUAUGAUGCCAUCGAAAAGAUGUACAUGAAUACUGAACUUGACAAAGAUGAGUUUUGCAAAUUGUAUAUGAAAGCUCCAGGAGCACUUGCUGAGAUUGAAAAGCAAACGGUAUUAGUUCGUGAAUUAUUUGAGGAAAAAAAAUGCAUGGCUGAUUUCUUGAUUGAGCAGGCUGAGAAAUGGAGUGCAUCAGACCUUAGAGAGAAAGCAAUCAGAAUGAUCGGUGAGAGAGAAUAUCUGCGUAGGAAAAUAGAGAGGGGAUUCAACCUUUGGGAAGUAGAUAAAGUACUUCUAGUAGAACUAUUAAAAGCAUAAACAUGAAAGUAAGAAUCAAGAAUGUAACUGGCUCAACAUCC
rnacentral:rRNA from 1 species